rnacentral:rRNA from 1 species
UACGUAGGGGGCUGGCGUUGUCCGGAAUCAUUGGGCGUAAAGAGCGUGUAGGCGGCCCGGUAAGUCCGCUGUGAAAGUCGGGGGCUCAACCCUCGAAUGCCGGUGGAUACUGUCGGGCUAGAGUGCGGAAGAGGCGAGUGGAAUUCCUGGUGUAGCGGUGAAAUGCGCAGAUAUCAGGAGGAACACCGAUUGCGAAGGCAGCUCGCUGGGACGUUACUGACGCUGAGGCGCGAAAGCGUGGGGAGCAAACAGG